rnacentral:rRNA from 1 species
UACGGAGGGUGCAAGCGUUGUCCGGAAUCACUGGGCGUAAAGGGCGCGUAGGCGGCUCGGUAAGUAGGGGGUGAAAUCCUGCGGCUCAACCGCAGGGCUGCCUUCUAAACUGUCGAGCUCGAGCACGGUAGAGGCAGAUGGAAUUCCCGGUGUAGCGGUGAAAUGCGCAGAUAUCGGGAAGAACACCCGUGGCGAAGGCGGCUCUCUGGAACGCAACUGACGCUGAGACGCGAAAGCGUGGGGAGCAAACAGG